rnacentral:rRNA from 1 species
UACGUAGGGUGCAAGCGUUGUCCGGAAUUAUUGGGCGUAAAGAGCUCGUAGGCGGUCUGUCGCGUCUGCUGUGAAAACUCGGGGCUUAACCCCGGGCCUGCAGUGGUACGGGCAGACUAGAGUGCGGUAGGGGAGACUGGAAUUCCUGGUGUAGCGGUGAAAUGCGCAGAUAUCAGGAGGAACACCGGUGGCGAAGGCGGGUCUCUGGGCAGUAACUGACGCUGAGGAGCGAAAGCGUGGGGAGCGAACAGG